rnacentral:sRNA from 1 species
UAUACACUGCGCUGUGACAUGAAGCGGUCUCUGUUGGCCAAGGACUUGACAAAGACCUGUGAAUUCAUCGUUCACUCCGCUCCUCAGAAGGGGAAGUUUAGUCCCAGUCCCGUGCACUUCACGAUUACACCUGAAACCUUACAGAAUGCCAGAGAGGAUCAAGUUAAGGACAAGCUGGGAGGCCUGGGCCCUGGGAGUUCAUUGGCCUCAUCCCUCAGAGGCUGGAUAUGUGUCGUGGGGAGCCUCUCAGACAGGCCCCCGCCCGAUGGCAGGCUGACCACACGCCCUGCGAGCACACCCGCUCUCAGCGCUCCCCCUGCCACCUGGAGGACGGGUGCCCCGAACUCCUGGGAGCCAGAUUGUCCACUUUCUAUCGGACAGAAACACUUCACUGGGGUGGUCCCCACAGGGCGUUCCUUGUGGCUUUUCUAGGUACAGGUUUAUCUGUAAACAUGAAGAACUUUUCUUUCGACAGAACCAUUCAAGUUUUUUGUUGGAAAAUAAGAAAAUAACACAUAAAGCAAAUAAAAUAAAAUUGCUUAUUCACAAAA